rnacentral:lncRNA from 1 species
AUUCCAGCAUUACCAAAUGAUGAUGAAGAGGCACCAAUGCCUUUAGAAGUGUUAUUAUUGUUCACAGACAUCACUAUCCAAAAUCUAAUCAACAAAAAGAGACAAAACCAAAACUCAAUAAAAUAAAAUCCUUAAGACCCAAAUGAAAAAAUCUUAACUUUAUGUAACAAUCUCAAUCAUGAACCAAGUGGGGGACAAAAUCUUAAAAUUCAUAACUUUACGUAACAAUCUUAACUUUAUGUAACAAUCUUAAAAUUCAUAACUUUGUAAAAAUCCUAAAUUUACGUUCUCAAAAAUGGAAAGAACAAAAAUCACUGACUUUGAAUCCAAAUCAAGUAGUGUUUACCUCGACCUGGAUUUAGCUUGAUCUACUGACUCUGAAAACUGUGAUCUUCGCUUGAAUAGAGAUUUGGAUAGUGAAUUAGGGUUUGGUGUGAGAGAGAGAUGAGUUGAAUUAGGGUUUGAUGAGUGAAAAUUGAGAAGAGAAAGAAGUGAAUUGGAGAAAUUGAAGAGAGUGUGAGAGAUUGAGAUUGGUGAAUUUUGAGGAAGAUGAUGAUGGUGAAGUUUUGCUAGGGUUUGGAAAAUGGCACAAAUUCGAGAGGGUCAAAGUUUAGUCAGUGUAAGCGUUUUUCACUUCUAAAAUGCUUUAC